rnacentral:rRNA from 1 species
UACGGGGGGGGCAAGCGUUGUUCGGAAUUACUGGGCGUAAAGGGAAUGUAGGUGGUUGGGUAAGUCAGAUGUGAAAGCCCCAGGCUUAACCUGGGAAUGGCAUUUGAUACUGCUCAGCUAGAGUGCGAGAGAGGAAAGCGGAAUUCCUGGUGUAGGGGUGAAAUCCGUAGAUAUCAGGAGGAAUACCGAUGGCGAAGGCAGCUUUCUGGCUCGCAACUGACACUGAGAUUCGAAAGCAUGGGUAGCAAACAGG